ensembl:lncRNA
UGCGAGUCAUUUAUCUCAGUUAUCCAGACAGUGUCAAAGCUCCAUCUGUGAAAACAGUAAACACACUGACUCACACUCUCUAAGUGACUGCCAUUGAUACCAGACGAGAGAGCGCUGCAGAUACACACAAAAAUAUAGCACACAGGGCUACAGUUACUGUUUGUUUUCAUCUCAUUACAGUGACAGGAGCACGGCAACCCCAGAGGGGAGGCGGAUAAUAGUCCAGUUUUAUUUUUUCUCCACUAAUGGCCCAGCAGGGGGUUCAAAUUGAUUGACGGACGUAGCUCCAGUAUACUCCUGAACACUCCUGGACAGACCAGUCUUCUGUGGCUGCAGUGCAGAGUCUGCUGACGGUGUCUCUGCUUAUCGGCGGCGUCAUGCGUGUGUAGGGUCGGACAUCCGAGGUAACCAAAAUGUUUAUGUUUAUUGUUAUCGUUCUGUUGCUUGAUUGUGGUUAAACAUUUCUUUGUUUCAUUACAGCUUUGCCUCUGUUGCCUUGUCUUUUUGCUUGUUUAUUUUGUUGUUUCUUUUAGUUUGUAGUUGUUUUGCCGUUCGAGUUUAGUUUCGUUUCUCCCCAUGUGGGUGUUUAUCUUUAGGUUGUUGUGGCUGUGUUCUCUGUCUCAGUAAUCAGGUUUCUCCCCUCCAUAGCUGUGUAGGGCCUGUGUGACUGUCAGUUUUAAUAACUGCAUUUAUAGUAACAUUAGUGUGUGUGCGGAACAUAUUUUUGUACCAGAAUAAAAAAUUGUAUUUAUAUUUUUCUAAACACGCCUCUGUAUUCAUUUGUGCACGUACCUGUGUUUAGUAGGGGAAACCCUCUGUUGAGAGGCAGGAUUGUUAACAUUCUUAGGGUGAAAGUCCCUCGGUGGUGUUGUCGGUUCCAUGUUAAAAGAAACCAGAAGACCCUCACCAGUCCUAACUUGGUUACACCCUCACUGAAUUUUGAUAGAGGAGUAGCUGAUGCUUACAAAUGCAAGGAAUUAGUAAGAAUAGUAGAUGCACAAUUGCCACAAGGGCAUCUGUAGAGGCAGGAGUCACACAAAAGCUCCAGAGUGUUUACAUAAAACUUCCUCAAUAGUUCAUGUAACAGAGCAACAUCUCUAUCCCGCUAACAGCGGCCUUUGGUCAUCACUUCGACAGAU